rnacentral:lncRNA from 1 species
CUUGAGUUACUUCCAACAGGGGUCUAUUCGUCAAUCAAAACGUUAAUCUUGAAGGAGCAAAGGUUUGUUCAUGAGCUGUCAUGCUCGCUAGGCGAAGCCCACGUGUUUUGAAAAAAAAAAGGGAAAGACUUGAGUUACUUCCAACAGGGGUCUAUUCGUCAAUCAAAACGUUAAUCUUGAAGGAGCAAAGGUUUGUUCAUGAGCUGUCAUGCUCGCUAGGCGAAGCCCA